GAUGAACGCUAGCGGCAGGCUUAACACAUGCAAGUCGAGGGGUAUUAUAGUUUUCGGAUUAAUAGAGACCGGCAAACGGGUGCGGAACACGUACGCAAUCUGCCUCUGUCUUGGGAUAGCCCAUAGAAAUGUGGAUUAAUACCCAAUAGUAUUAUAGAGUGGCAUCACUUAGUAAUUAAAGAUUUAUUGGACAGAGAUGAGCGUGCGUCCCAUUAGCUAGUUGGUGCGGUAACGGCGUACCAAGGCGACGAUGGGUAGCUGGUGUGAGAGCACGACCAGCCACACGGGCACUGAGACACGGGCCCG
rnacentral:rRNA from 1 species